rnacentral:rRNA from 1 species
ACUCCUGCGGGAGGCAGCAGUGGGGAAUUUUGGACAAUGGGCGAAAGCCUGAUCCAGCAAUGCCGCGUGAGUGAAGAAGGCCUUCGGGUUGUAAAGCUCUUUUGUCAGGGAAGAAACGGUGAAAGCUAAUAUCUUUUGCUAAUGACGGUACCUGAAGAAUAAGCACCGGCUAACUACGUGCCAGCAGCCGCGGUAAUACGUAGGGUGCAAGCGUUAAUCGGAAUUACUGGGCGUAAAGCGUGCGCAGGCGGUUUUGUAAGUCUGAUGUGAAAUCCCCGGGCUCAACCUGGGAAUUGCAUUGGAGACUGCAAGGCUAGAAUCUGGCAGAGGGGGGUAGAAUUCCACGUGUAGCAGUGAAAUGCGUAGAUAUGUGGAGGAACACCGAUGGCGAAGGCAGCCCCCUGGGUCAAGAUUGACGCUCAUGCACGAAAGCGUGGGGAGCAAACAGGAUUAGAUACCCCUGUAGUCCC